rnacentral:rRNA from 1 species
GACGAACGCUGGCGGCGUGCCUAAUACAUGCAAGUAGGACGCAGUUGCGAACGGGUGAGUAACACGUUGGUAACUACCUAUUAGAGGGGGAUAACUAGUGGAAACGAUAGCUAAUACCGCAUAAUAGUAGAUGGAGCUGCGUUGUUUUAGCUAGUAGGUAGGGUAAAGGGCUACCUAGGCAACGAUACAUAGCCGACCUGAGAGGGUGAUCGGCCACACUGGGACUGAGACACGGCCCAGACUCCUACGGGAGGCAGCAGUAGGGAAUCUUCGGCAAUGGGGGGAACCCUGACCGAGCAACGCCGCGUGAGUGAAGAAGGUUUUCGGAUCGUAAAGCUCUGUUGUUAAGGAAGCGGUACUUAACCAGAAAGGGACGGCUAACUACGUGCCAGCCGCCGCGGUAAUAC